rnacentral:rRNA from 1 species
AUUGAACGCUGGCGGCAGGCUUAACACAUGCAAGUCGAACGAGUGGCGGACGGGUGAGUAAUGUCUGGGAAACUGCCCGAAGGAGGGGGAUAACUACUGGAAACGGGAGCUAAUACCGCAUCGUAGCGGAUGGGACCGUAUGGGAUGAGCUAGGAGGUGGGGUAAUGGCUCACCUAGGCGACGAUCCCUAGCUGGUCUGUGAGGAUGACCAGCCACACUGGAACUGGGAAACGGUCCAGACUCCUACGGGAGGCAGCAGUGGGGAAUAUUGCACAAUGGGCGCAAUCCUGAUGCAGCCAUGCCGCGUGUAUGAAGAAGGCCUUCGGGUUGUAAAGUACUUUCAGCGAGGAGGCGUUACUCGCAGAAGAAGCACCGGCUAACUCCGUGCCAGCAGCCGCGGUAAUAC